rnacentral:lncRNA from 1 species
ACUCAACAAUGCCUGCUCCUCUCUGACUGCACCGCCCCGCCGCCGACGCCCAGUAGAGCCCCCGGGGCGGUCCCCACCGACGGCGCAGCCCGCCGGGACCGGGAGAAAGCAGCUGCGGACACCGCGCCCGUGCGUCUGCGCGCCUGGCCGCCAGGUGACCCAGCAGCCCGGCCGCCGAGAUGCCCAACCCGCCCAGGCUCCGGGCGCUGUGACUUCGCGCCGCUGUGUGCGCCUCCCCGAGCGCCGGCUGCGCCCCCCAGCCCGGCCCGGGGCCUACCGCCUGCCCGGCCCCCUGCCACUGCCAGGAGGACGGCAUCAUGCUGUCUGCCGACUGCUCUUGAGCUUGGGCUGUCCGCCAUACCGGGGGACCUGGAUCCCCUGACGGCUUACCUGAAGUAGCAGGCCAGAGAGGACUCGAAGAUCCUUAGAAGGAGCCAUAGACGGAACCAUAGGAGGCGCCCAGGAGCUAUGGGCUCCAGAAGUUUCCUCCUAAACUGUGGUCUCAGCGAGGCUCAUUGACACUCACCGGGGUUUCGACAUUCUCCCUGGCUAGGGCCUGUUCUGGAAAUAGACCAAGGGGGAGAUGGAGCCCCUGGCCGUGGGACAUCCAAUCUGAUGGUGAUGAGAAGGCAUGAUGCCUCUUGUUCUAUUCUUUUUUGUUUCUUCUUUUUUUUUAAAUAAAAAAGACCAGUAAUGUGCUGACUUCAUAACAAGGUUUGAGGGAGGCACUUCUCACACGUGAGCAUGAAAACCCAAUCGUCACGCUUCUUAACUGCAAAAGGAUCACCUCUUGUUCUAUUGUAUUGCAUGUACACAUGAUGCACAGACAGGAAUACACAGACAGCAAAUAACUUGUUGGGCAGAUAAUCCCCGGAGUUGUUCCUGAGUAGAAAGAUCUGGGUAGUUACUCUGGGCCCCCAAGGCUGAGCAGUGUCAGUAAACAGAUGGUGCCAGAAAAGGUAUCUCACGCAGCUAGUUGUGAAAGACGUCAGGCUCAUGCACUUGCAGUCACACCUAAGCACCCAUUUUCAUAGCCCACUGCCACCAGGGCUGAGGGAGGGGCCGCUACACCAUGCAACCCCCACUUCAGACUGCUGUUUGCUUUCUUGGGAAUUAUAACUUUAAGAUUGCCUGUGAUAACUGAUAACCACUGGACUUGUUUGAAAGGUUAGAUGGUGUGUGCAUGUGUGUCUGUAUGUGCGUGUGUGUCUGUGUGUGUCUGCGUGUUUCUCUGUGUGUGUGUAGAUACAGGGUAAUUUGCAGGGGAUGUCUACAGCCAAAAUGAUGGAGGCAGGAUGCUGGAGGCAGAGAGUAAGGGGUUGUGGCAUUUGCCACAACAAAGCAGAGUUCAAACUAUCACUUACUAGCUAUGUAACCCCCAGCCAGUUGAUUAGCCCUUCUGUGACUUAGUUUCCUCACCUGUAAACAGGGUUAAGAUCUACCUCAUAGGGUUGUUGUGUGGAUUCACUUAGAUGAUGUUUGCAAAGGGUUUGGCAUAAUGUCUGGUACAUGGGAAGAGCUCAAUAAAUGUUAGCCAGUGCUGUUAUUAGGAUAACCAGGGCGAAGAAAUGUCAGUCAUGGAAGUCUUCCUGGAGGAGGAAGUCCUGGAGCUAGCAUGGGAGGGAGGGAAGCAGGCCUAUUCUAUGAAAGGUGUAGGAUAGGUGUGUGUGUAGUUGCGGGCUGUGAGAGGUGCAAGAAGCUGCGAAGAAGAUGGAAUGAGCUCUGCUGGGAACCCAGAGUAAUUUUAGGGUUUUUUUUUUUUGUUUUUUUUUUUUUUAGAAUACAGUCUGAAAAACCAGGGAGG